UACGGAGGGUGCGAGCGUUGUUCGGAAUCACUGGGCGUAAAGCGCGUGUAGGCGGCUUCUUAAGUCUGAUGUGAAAGCCCGGGGCUCACCCCCGGAAGUGCACUGGAAACUGGGAAGCUCGAGUACCGGAGAGGAGGGUGGAAUUCCUGGUGUAGCGGUGAAAUGCGUAGAUAUCAGGAGGAACACCGGUGGCGAAGGCGGCCCUCUGGACGGAUACUGACGCUGAGACGCGAAAGCGUGGGGAGCAAACAGG
rnacentral:rRNA from 1 species